rnacentral:rRNA from 1 species
UAAUGUGAAUUGCAGAAUUCCGUGAAUCAUCGAAUCUUUGAACGCACAUUGCGCCCCCUGGCAUUCCGGGGGGCAUGCCUGUCCGAGCGUCAUU